GACGAACGCUGGCGGCGUGCUUAACACAUGCAAGUCGAACGGAACGGCCCUGCUUAUGUGGGGUGCUCUAGUGGCGAACGGGUGAGUAACACGUGAGUAACGUGCCCCUGACUUUGGGAUGACUUCAGGAAACUGGGGCUAAUCCCGGAUAGGAGCUCCCGCCUCUUGGUGGGGGCGGGAAAGUUUCGUCGGUUGGGGAUGGACUCGCGUAGGAUCGGCUUGUUGGUAGGGUAGUGUCCUAGCAAGGCUAUGAUCCAUAGCUGUUCUGAGAGGGGGAUCAGCCACACUGGGACUGAGACACGGACCAGACUCGUACGGGAGGCAGCGGUGGGGAAUAUUGGGCAAUGGGGGAAAGCCUGAUAAAGCAAUGCCGGGUGAGUGAUGAAGGCCUUAGGGUUGUAAAGCUCUUUUACCCGGGAUGAUAAUGACAGUACCGGGAGAAUAAGCUCCGGCUAACUCCGUG
rnacentral:rRNA from 1 species